rnacentral:rRNA from 1 species
GGGUCAGUAGGUUGGUCGUGCCACCGGUACGUACUGGUCUCACUGAUUCCUCCUUCCUGAAGAACCGUAAUGCCAUUAAUUUGGUGUUGCGGGGAAACAGGACUGUUACUUUGAAACAAUUAGAGUGUUUAAAGCAAGCUAACGCUUGAAUACAUUAGCAUGGAAUAAUGAAAUAGGACGAUCGAUCCUAUUUUGUUGGUCUCUAGGAUUGACGUA